AGGAGGAGGGCCCCAAAUGAUGCGAAGCAUCAUUUAUCUCAUGGGCCCGACGAACUGCCGACGACGCCGCAGGCGGAGGGGGCGACACCUUAA
rnacentral:sRNA from 1 species